GGCAAGAAACACCGCAGGAACGCAGCCAGGGCGCGUCUGCUGGAGCAGCUAGCGGGCAGCCUGGAUGCCACAGAGAGCACAGGGCUGCGCAGUAGUUACUCCUGCAGUGUCUGCAGUGUGGUCCUCAACUCCAUUGAGCAGUACCACGCACACGUCCAGGGCUCCAAGCACCAAAACAAGUGAGUACAGCAACGAUUGAUGGAUGGAUGGUCUUUCAAACCCUGUAGGAAAGAGAGACAUUGUGUAAAUCUCAGAAACAGAUAACCCAACAAAUCACGCACACUUCACAAUGUAGAGGUGUGAAAGUGGAAAGAGGUCUGAACUCUCUUCUCAUUGUUCGUAUGCUAUUUCAGUCAGGGCCACUAUAGUCAAAAUGUAUUAAUUUCAAUAAUCGCAAUUAGUUAUUAUAGUGGCAAACUUGGUUAGGAUGGGUCUUUCCUAUAACCCCCCUUUAUAUGUUCCACCACAUGGAGAGAAGCGAAGCAGUGUCAGACUCAAGAUCUUCCCGAAAAACCAAAAAUUCCAAAAAAAAAAAUAGAUUUUAUGUACAAAAUAAACAAAAUAUGAAACAAGAUGUGUUGUCUUAAAGUCUUAAAGAGCUCUAAAUGCAGAUCCUAUCAAUCUAUUGAGAGUGUGACUGGGCUGAGACGGAGGUAAAUGACAGUAUCCGCUGUCCAUUGCUUUCUCUCCUUCUUACGCCAUGUUCACCAUUUUAAAGGAUGCCACCCACCUCGGCGUGCAACUACAAACACAAAUUUUAAUUUUUACGUCUUAACUUAAAUGCGGCUCCAUAGUUAUUUUUGGCUGUAUUGUACGGCUCUGUUCUGGGACCUCCCUGCCCUAAAGUGCAUACGUGGAAAGCCUCGGAUAGGGAGAGCACAUCUCCCUACCUUUCCGUGAGCCUUAGUGGAAUGUGAGUUAGGGAGAGACGAUAAUCAACAUGUCCACUCACUCGCUGUGAGCUAUCCAGAGAUUUCCCUGCUGUAUUCUCACAUGGGCUGAUUCGGAGGGAGAGAGGGGCUGGGGAAGUUUCGUAAAAUGCCCGUAGCGACAUUUGCAGACAUUUGCAUUCUCACGUAAAGCAGCUUACAACUACUUCUGGAGAAACACUAUCAGAAAACGCGUGCCCUUAUCCCCAUUCUAAUCCCUGUGCAGCAAAGGUAUAUUUGCAGCUUAAAUAAUUUCAAACUACUUCACAACUGUCACAUUUUAAAAAGGAAGCAAUCAUUAAAAGCAAUCCUUGUAUUAGUAUUCUUAUAAAGAGGCUGGUGAGGGUGCUCAAAGAAGGGUAGCGGAGAAGACUAAUUUUUUUUUUUAUAAGAAUCCUGUUCACCACUUUAAUGUGAGGGCUCCUGCACUAGAGUGCCUGAGUAACACAGGGUAUGUUGCUUAUGAAAGUAAUUCAGUGGAACAAACACUACAUGUUAAACACAGAAACAAAGCUACAAUAGUAAAAACAAAAUCAACCCUGCAAUCAACUGCACAGACAGCUGGCAUAAAAACUCAAGUGUGAGUUUUGUAAAGACUGUCCAUGGUUGACAUGAUCCGCCUGGUUCCAAAUAUAGAUUGAGGCAUCACCAUACUGUAUACACUGUGUUGUUUGGUUGAGGAAGACAGAGAGAGACUGACGCCUCCACUAGGCUGCACAACUUGUGGUGGAUGUUGUUUGAUUAAAAUUUUAAAUAUCUGAUGACUGAAACAUUCAAAAUGCACAUAUGCAGUAAGCCAUGUAAAGAGAUGUGGAGCAGCCUGGGGCAGCGUAAUUGAAACGCUUAUAAUGGGUUAUUUAUUAUAGAGCAUGACAAUCGCACAAUGAGGUAUAAUCAUUUUCACUAUACUGACUUUUCAAGAAUGUAAUCAAAGCCAACGUAUCCAACCAGCAGGAGGAGGGUGCUUGAUGGAACCAUUACAUUUCAUGCAUUUACAAUGG
ensembl:lncRNA